GAUGAGCCUUAUGUUCUCCAUGGCCCCUGGCUCCAGUUCCACCUGCACCACCGCUCCCAUCAGGCCUUUUCCUCAUCCCCACUAGUGGCACAGGGGAUGCCCCUGCCCCAGUGUGGGAGGAACAGGGCUGCCUGCGGGCGACACAGCAGGGUCCAGCUGACUCUGGAGGCCCCCUGGAGCCUGCUCGGCCCUUCCCCAGCCCGGCCCAAAAGAGAAAAACAACAACAGCUAUUGAAACAUGAAGGAUCAGUUUCCUCGGAGCUCUGGGAACCCGGGGGUCCCAAAGGAGAGAGACUCUCAGGCAGGGGUGGGAUGCACUGUGGGCCCUCCACAGUCAGCUCUUUGGAAGCCGUCAGGAGGCACCCUUCCACCCCCCAGUUUAGAAAAAUAGACACAUCUGUAUUUUUGCAUUUCUGCUCUCCUUGCCUGACUGCUGAUGGCAGCAGUGACCCCCAUGUGAUCCCUGGGCCCUGAGUCACAGCCGCCACCGCCCCCACCACCACCUUCCCAAGUCAUGCCUUCGUUCAGCCCUAAAUGGGAACACACGCUUCAGACCCCACUACGCCCUGGGGGGGUCCCCACAUACGCACACUCACAC
rnacentral:antisense_RNA from 1 species